AUGAAAUCAAAGGCUGAGAACAGAAAGAAAUGGUUUUAAAACUCAAUCAUACAUUUAUACUCCCAUCCAACAUUUCACGUGGUAGCCAACCCGUGGCUUCCACUUCUCCACCUCUAAAAGUGGGAAAUAAUCUCAAAAAAUCGUUUAACCCUUCACAAGAGCUCAGGCUUGGAGUAACCCCUUCCAUGCCACCUGAAAAAGUUGAAAUCUUCAAGUGUAUGGAGGAUUGGGCUAGAGAUAACAUUUUGACUCUACUUAAACCGGUUGAAAAAUGUUGGUGAUGAUGCCAAAAUCGCCAGUCGUGGUGAUUGUCCAGAUAGGAAGUCGCUCAAGGUUGUCAGAUGACCUGCACGAGAACAAUAAGAGAAUUUCCACUCGAAAGGCCACUAGUGUGGUGCCAGCCACUGAGCCUUCGAUGGCAAAGUCAAAUGACUAAGGAAUAGUGGUAAUGAUAAGAGCUUUGAUUUUGCUAUAUGUGGAUAAAAAUAAAUUCGUACAUCUCUUUGGGAUUUGAGGCCCUGUAUAUAUACAGGGCCUUCCCUUCUAGCCGUUGGUGGCAUUUAAUGGUGUCUUGAAUGUCCUUCCAUAAUGCCCCUGGAUGAAUUUAACCAGGUAGAUUUGAUAUCUUCUCCAAUGACCUUAUUUCCUGCAUUUAGUGGUGAGUAACGGCAUUCCAUUUAAUAUGGGCUUAAUGGUGAUUUCCCUUGUCUAGCAUAGACUUAUCUGGACGAAGGGAUUUAUUGGUUUCGUCAGCUGCUUCCUUAUUCCAUGAUCGUUAAGACACGUAAUGACGAUCCUAGGAAUACGAAGGGUUACUUUUUGCUGGUCACGACUUUUGGGAUUCCCUCUUCUUUUGCAUUUAUUACGACAUGACGGUGAUGCACAUGUUGUGCUCUGAUUUUUUGGGAGUGGCACUUUUUUCUAAGAAAAACUCUUAAGCUUCCCAUGGUUUCCGUUUUCUGAGGGAGCUUUUUAAACUUCUUCUUCUUCCUCUUUACUUUACUCUUCUUUUUUCCUGCUCUGCGUUUUUCUUCCUUUGAACAGAAGUUUGCUCAAAAUUAUCAAAACUUGGCUUGAGGGGGCAAAGGGAGCAUGGCUUGAAGAAUUACAAAAUGUCCUUUGGGCAUAUAGGACGGCCACAAGAGUUCUAACAGAAGAAACAUCAUUCAGAUUGGCAUUUGGCACUGUGGCCGUCAUACCAGUGGAAGUGGGACUGACUAACUUCCGAGUCAAAACUUAUGAAGACCAGAAGAACUAGCAGGAGCUUAACAGCAACUUAGACCUAAUUGGUGAAGUCAAAGAAGGAGCUAUGAAGCAAAUGACCAAACACAA